rnacentral:rRNA from 1 species
AAGCCUACGGGGGGCAGCAGUGGGGAAUAUUGCGCAAUGGGGGAAACCCUGACGCAGCAACGCCGCGUGAGUGAGGAAGUAUCUCGGUAUGUAAAGCUCUAUCAGCGGGGAAGAAGGAAGACGGUACCCGACUAAGAAGCCCCGGCUAACUACGUGCCAGCAGCCGCGGUAAUACGUAGGGGGCGAGCGUUAUCCGGAUUUACUGGGUGUAAAGGGUGCGUAGGUGGCAGGGCAAGUUAGAUGUGAAAGCCCGGGGCCCAACCCCGGUACUGCAUUUGAAACUGUCCGGCUGGAGUGCAGGAGAG